rnacentral:rRNA from 1 species
UACGUAGGUGGCAAGCGUUGUCCGGAUUUACUGGGCGUAAAGAGCGCGCAGGCGGUCGUUCAAGUCGCGUGUGAAAGCCCCCGGCUCAACUGGGGAGGGUCACGCGAUACUGAUCGACUCGAAGGCAGGAGAGGGUAGUGGAAUUCCCGGUGUAGUGGUGAAAUGCGUAGAUAUCGGGAGGAACACCCAGGGGGAAACCAGUGGACUGGCACGGUGCUGACGCUCAGGUGCGAAAGCGUGGGGAGCGAACCGG